rfam:Oryza glumipatula chromosome 7, whole genome shotgun sequence.
AACCACACUAUCAAUUAAUGGAUUCUCCCGCGAGAUGACGUGACUGUUUUACCUAGGAUGAGGACAUGGCAUCCUAUUACCACCCAUCGCAUGAAAUUAAUAGGAUGCCACGUCCUCAUCCUUGAUGGAACAACCACGUUAUCACAUGGAUGAAUCCAUUAAUCGAUAGUGUGGUU